rnacentral:rRNA from 1 species
ACGGAAGGCAGCAGUGGGGAAUUUUGCGCAAUGGGGGAAACCCUGACGCAGCAACGCCGCGUGCGGGAUGACGGCCUUCGGGUUGUAAACCGCUUUCAGCAGGGACGAUUAUGACGGUACCUGCAGAAGAAGCUCCGGCUAACUACGUGCCAGCAGCCGCGGUAAUACGUAGGGAGCGAGCGUUAUCCGGAUUCAUUGGGCGUAAAGCGCGCGUAGGCGGAUGCCUAAGCGGGACCUCUAAUCCGAGGGCUCAACCCCCGGCCGGGUCCCGAACUGGGCGUCUCGAGUUAGGUAGGGGCAGGCGGAAUUCCAUGUGUAGCGGUGAAAUGCGCAGAUAUAUGGAAGAACACCGAUGGCGAAGGCAGCCUGCUGGGCCUCAACUGACGCUGAGGUGCGAAAGCGUGGGGAGCGAACAGGAUUAGAUACCCUGGUA